GACCCGUUACCGUGACAACUCCUGAUCUAACUUAUUACUCAGUUAUCAGCAUGGAUGCUCCUGGUUUGUGACAGCCUUCUGCCUAUUGAUGCAGGAACCCAGGAUCUUCGUAUUUCCGGCCUUACAGACCGGAAGUAGAACAGGCACCGAGGAUUCCUCAGCCCUCUUAAUCCUGGGAAAAUAGAAUUCAUUUCACACAUUUCCACACUCUUCAUGUGGCCUCUCACUGUGAAAGCCUGGGAGAUGCAGUCUGUGACUCACCACUGGCCUUGUACACUUGGGAACAGGAACAAAAGUUCCCAGAAGCAAGGGGGCUGGACCUACACCCUGGCACCCGUCAGUUGCGGAUCCCAGAGAAUCCAUGAGGUGUUCUGCCUGCAUAUGUGUCUGUACACCACAUACAUGCCUGGUGCCCACAGAGGCUAAACGAAGACACUGGGUGCCUUGGGACCGGAGUUCAUACCGGAAGUUUUUCAAAUUUAUGUCUGGAAAUAAUCAGAGGUUCACAAGAAGUAACAAAGGACACUACAAGCAGCCCUGUGGACCCAGCAUCUGGAUUCCCCUGUGUUUCCAAUGCCAGAGCCGAUUCACAAUACAACGCAGCUUCUAUCGAUCAUAUUUCAUCCCAGUGAACCACAGAAGAAUUCGUUACUUGCCUUGUUGGAAUGACAAAAUACCUGAUUUUAAAAAACAGCUUAAUGAGGGACGGGUUUAUGUUGGCUUGCAGUUUCGGGUGAGAUACAAUCCACAAUACCUGAAUAAAGCAGCAGGAGGCGGCUGCUCAUGUUGAAUCUGCUGUUGGGAAGCAGAGAGGCAUGAAUCUAGUUCUUUGAUCACUUUCUCCUUUUUGUUAAGGCCCACGACCCCCGAUUCAUGGAACGGUGCUACCCACAGUUAAAGUGGGUAUCUCACCUCAAUCUAAUCUACAUGGCCUCUCAUAGACAUGCUCAGAGGUUUGUCGCCACGUUUGACAGCCAGUAUUAGCCAGCACUGACGAGCAAACAUCUUAGCAAUUACAGACUUAACCAUAAUUCACCCACCACGGAGGAUGGGGGUCUUGUCGCCAUCUAGUGGAUGAAUGAUGCAAGUACGUCCAUGGCCAACCACAGAAGUGUACCCUGUAGGCAGAACCGAGGGUGAGGAAGCUGACUGGAUUGUUCAGUGGUCCCAACAAUUCCCAGUAAUCACACGGAAAUUCACAACCCUCUGUAACUAAAGUUCCAGGGGAUUCUCUUUUCUGGCUUCCACAGUACCAAACAUGCAUGCGGUGCUCAGAUAAACGAAUAUACAUGCAUGCAAAACAGCUAUACACAUAAAAUAAAGUGAUUUUUUUAAACUUACACAAGAAAGAACCUGGGGUAGGAAUUUCCGCUCCUGCGAGUCCAAAGAAGAAGUUUUUUUUUUUUUUCUUUUUUUCGGAGCUGGGGACCGAACCCAGGGCCUUGCGCUUGCUAGGCAAGCGCUCUACCACUGAGCUAAAUCCCCAACCCCAAGAAGUUUUUCACGGAGGUGAAAGGUGAAGAAAUCCAGACUCCGGCUAAGCCCAGGGUGCACCCUGAAUAUGAAUUGCACUGCAGGUCCUGCCCAUCUGUUAAUCUCUGCCACGGACUCCUCAGGGAGUGAGGCAUAGCCUUUUUAAACAUUGUCCCCAGAAGCACUUCCGGGGAGGAGGCUGCCGUCAAACAAUGAUAACCCUUCUACCAUGACAGAGACCUGGGCCCAGACCUGAGCAGUUCCACAACUGGAACAUAUGUGGUCUGGUAAAGGGGAUGUGGGCAGGGCAGCCAACGGCAUCCAUUCUGCCUCCCAGCGAAGACAAAACUGAUAUAAAAGCCGAACGAUAAGGUAGUGGAGAUGGGAACACCUUAGCGUGUCUGAUGUCCAUAAACAAGGACACGUGGGCGGAAUGUGAAGGAGAUGGAACCCGGCCAGCAUGGCCUUGCAAAUGUGACAGAGCAUGAGGUAAGAGCAGCUGGCUUUCCCUCGGGACCCACGAUAAAGUAAUUCGGCUCCUACAUUAAUGAAUAAUUUAUACAGGGAACCACUUCUCUUUAAUAAUCGGAGAAACGAGAGCCGCAGUAUUAAUUUGAUGGGCGCUGAGACACGGAGAAAUUUGAGUUCGUGACCUGGCUGGAUUUGUUGUCCUUUCAUUAGAAUUACUCAUCCACACGUCAGCUCAUAGCUCAUUCUAAAUGUAUCAGAUCUCAGCUAUCUCCGCUCUCGUGAAUUUUUAUGAGAUUACAAAGCAAGUCUAGCGCUGACCUUGAAUGCCUUAUCUAUCCUCUCUUCAUUAGGUUGUGCUCCAAAGGGCCAUUCCCAAAGGAGAAGAUGUAUUGGGGCCAUCCCUAAGGAGGUAAUGCUCCAACACAAAAGAGCCUGGGACUUGUCACACCAACUCUGACCUUCCCCUCUGUGUCACCGUCUGCCUUUGUAGUAGAUUACUUUGUGUCAUGCUGGGCUCUCUUCAUUAACCUGGGAAUUUAAAGUUCUUUCUGAGAAGCCAGGAGUGUGGUGCAUUCUGAAGAAGGCAAGAGGAUCUCGAGUUCCCGCCCACCAGAGAUACUUUGGAAAAACAAAACAACCACCAUUACAACAACAAAAAAUAAAAAAA